rnacentral:rRNA from 1 species
UACGGAGGGUGCAAGCGUUGCUCGGAAUUAUUGGGCGUAAAGGGUAGGUAGGUGGUCUCAUUUGUCUGGGGUGAAAGCCUUGGGCUUAACUCAAGAAGUGCCCCAGAAACGGUGAGACUAGAGUCCUAGAGAGGGUCGUGGAAUUCCCGGUGUAGCGGUGAAAUGCGCAGAUAUCGGGAAGAACACCCGUGGCGAAGGCGGUUCUCUGGGACGGUACUGACGCUGAGACGCGAAAGCGUGGGGAGCGAACAGG